AUUCCAAACACAUUCGCCUGCCUUCAAGGACCAUCAGCUCCUGUAGAAUGGGACAAGCCCCAGUUGACUAUUCUCAUUACCAUCUGCUGGCUGACCCCGAUGUGUCCUUCCUACUUCCUGCCACACCCCUGGAAACCUGCUUCAGCGUAGCACUUGACACGGGCCAGGCACUAGAGAAACCUCUUCAGUGCUGUCUUACGCCGCAGUGCUUGUGCCCAGACAAAGGCAGAGCACACUGACAACCUUCAUUUCCCAGGAAGACAGAAAGAUGAAUGGUGUAUGAGAAAACGGUGUAGCUUGGUCGGGGGUAGGACUUAAAAUACUCUCUGUUGUCAACAAA